AUGUAUAUGGACAAAAAUCUGGAAAUUCCUUUUAUAGUGUUAUCGGGCUUAAGCGUGAAGUGGACUAGGCCCAGCGAAUCAUUACCUUAUACCCCCCUAACCGGAUUGCACCAAAAGGAAAAGCCCAUAAUAAUUGUUUUUUUUUACAGGAUGAUUGUUAGUGCCAAAAAGCUCCUUCUGGACUUGGUAUGGCUGGGCCUAGCGUCCAGUUUGCUAUUAUACACCCUAUUUCGGCUCAAGCCCCCUCCCUUGAGUUUAAAUAAUUUUUAUUUUCCAUGA